rnacentral:lncRNA from 1 species
UCACUCCAAUCAUCCUCUUGGAGAUUCUCUUGUUGAGAAGUUGGGGAAGCAUGGUGAUCCUCAUAUGAAAUCUCCUCAUUCUGUUCUUCAUCACUAAUCUCUCUGUGAGAGUCCAGCAUCUUCACAUAAGCAUCACUUUCCUUGUUCUCAACCAUUUGGACCUCUCUCUCAAUUGUUAAGGCAUGUUGUAGAGAGUCUUCAAGUGCCAACUCCUCUAGAAGUUCAUCAGCUAACACCUUCAUCUCCUCAAUGUAGAAUGCUUGGCUUUGAGUAAUAGGCUUCUUCAUUACCUCCUUGAUGUCAAAGUGAAGAAUGUUUCCCUUUCCAAGGUGAAGAUCAAUCUUCCCUUCCUUAACAUUCACAACUGCUCAUGCUGUAGCCAAGAAAGGUCUCCCCAAUAUUAAAGGAUCUGUUGGUUCUUCAUCCAUCUCUAACACCACAAAAUCUGUAGGGAUCUCACAAUUUCCAACCAUGACAGGGAGAUCUUCUAUGAUACCAAUGGGAAUCUUCACUGAGCGAUCAGCUAGCACAAGAGAGAGUCUACACUUCUUGUAUUGUGUAAAGCCAAGCCUUUUAGCAAUGGAGAGAGGCAUAAGGCUCACACUUUC